rnacentral:rRNA from 1 species
GGUCACUGCUAUUGGGAUUCGGCUAAGCCAUGCAAGCGGAGGGCGCGGUCGAAAGAUCGUGGCCCCGCACACUGCUCAGUAACACGUAGUCAACCUACCCUUGGGACAGGGACAACCUCGGGAAACUGAGGCUAAUCCCCGAUAGGUGAGGGACGCUGGAAUGCCUCCUCGCCCAAAGCUCCGGCGCCCAAGGAUGGGACUGCGGUCUAUCAGGCUGUUGGUGGUGUAACGGACCACCAAACCUACGACGGGUACGGGCGAUGGGAGUCGGAGCCCGGAGAUGGGGACUGAGACAAGGCCCCAGGCCCUACGGGGCGCAGCAGGCGCGAAAACUCCGCAAUGCGCGCAAGCGUGACGGGGGAAUCCCAAGUGCCGUUGGUCUUAUGAUCGACGGUUUUUAGGAAGUCUAAGAAGCUUCCAGAAUAAGGGCUGGGCAAGACUGGUGCCAGCCGCCGCGGUAACACCAGCAGCCCAAGUGGUGACCACGAUUAUUGGGCCUAAAGCGCUCGUAGCCGGAUCAGCAAGUCCCUUGUGAAAUCGGGCCGCCCAACGGUUCGGCGUGCAAGGGAUACUGUUGGUCUUGAGGCCGGGAGAGGUCGGAGGUACUCCUGGGGUAGCGGUGAAAUGCUCUAAUCCUAGGGGGACCACCAGUGGCGAAGGCGUCCGACCAGAACGGACCUGACGGUGAGGGGCGAAGGCUAGGGGAGCGAACGGGAUUAGAUACCCCGGUAGUCCUAGCUGUAAAGCAUGCGGGCCAGGUGUCUAGCGCUCCUUGAGGGCGCUAGGUGCCGGAGGGAAGCCGUUAAGCCCGCCGCCUGGGAAGUACGGCCGCAAGGCUGAAACUUAAAGAAAUUGGCGGGGGAGCACCACAAGAGGUGGGACCUGCGGUUC